rnacentral:rRNA from 1 species
AUUGAACGCUGGCGGCAGGCCUAACACAUGCAAGUCGAACGAGUGGCGGACGGGUGAGUAAUGUUUGGGAAACUGGCUGAUGGAGGGGGAUAACUACGGGAAACGGUAGCUAAUACCGCAUACCAUCGGAUGUGCCCAAAUGGGAUUAGCUAGUUGGUGGGGUAAAGGCUCACCAAGCCGACGAUCCCUAGCUGGUCUGAGAGGAUGACCAGCCACACUGGAAAUGAGACACGGUCCAGACUCCUACGGGAGGCAGCAGUGGGGAAUAUUGCACAAUGGGCGAAAGCCUGAUGCAGCCAUGCCGCGUGUGUGAAGAAGGCCUUCGGGUUGUAAAGCACUUUCAGCGGGGAGGCGUUACCCGCAGAAGAAGCACCGGCUAACUCCGUGCCAGCAGCCGCGGUAAUAC